rnacentral:rRNA from 1 species
AUUGAACGCUGGCGGCAGGCCUAACACAUGCAAGUCGAACGAGUGGCGGACGGGUGAGUAAUGUCUGGGAAACUGCCUGAUGGAGGGGGAUAACUACUGGAAACGGUAGCUAAUACCGCAUACCAUCGGAUGUGCCCAGAUGGGAUUAGCUAGUAGGUGGGGUAAAGGCUCACCUAGGCGACGAUCCGUAGCUGGUCUGAGAGGAUGACCAGCCACGCUGGAACUGAGACACGGUCCAGACUCCUACGGGAGGCGUGAGUGGGUAAUAUUGCACUAUGGGCGGAAGCCUGAUGCAGCCAUGCCGCGUGUAUGAAGAAGGCCUGCGGGUUGUAAAGUACUUUCAGCGGGGAGGCGUUACGCGCAGAAGAAGCACCGGCUAACUCCGUGCCAGCAGCCGCGGGAAUUC